rnacentral:rRNA from 1 species
UACGUAGGGUGCGAGCGUUAAUCGGAAUUACUGGGCGUAAAGCGUGCGCAGGCGGUUUUGCAAGCCGGAUGUGAAAUCCCCGGGCUCAACCUGGGAAUGGCAUUCGGGACUGCAAGGCUGGAGUGCGGCAGAGGAGACUGGAAUUCCUGGUGUAGCAGUGAAAUGCGUAGAUAUCAGGAGGAAUACCGAUGGCGAAGGCAGGUCUCUGGGGCUGACACUGACGCUCAUGCACGAAAGCGUGGGGAGCAA